AUAACGAGGCUGGAAGUGGAACUUUCCCCCCACUCCCUUACUUCGCGAUUUCUUUUUUCCCAGUGACCUGGGCUGCACUUUGCCCCCACUCCCUGCCUGCCAAUCUCCUCCGGGUUAGGGCCUCUCUCUUUCCAUUCUUGCGAGCUCCCCCUACUUGAGAGCUCCAGGAGGCCCAGCCUUCCAGAAUCCGAUCUCCUUCCGACACUGCAGCCCCCCUGCGGAGGAAGGAAGAGGCCUCCUCGGAAUGAAUGACGGGAGAGACCUGAGAAGGGGUCCGUGGAGAUGUCAUCAUCUGAUGACAGCCACUUAAGGAGUAGAAGACUUGACAUGGAAUGCACAGGAAGACAGGGUCCUGAAAUACCGCAAGAAUGGUGUUUCUCAUUCCUCUCCAGUCCAAACAAGGAAGCCGGGAAAUCUCGCAAGGGCACGUUCUAGUUCAAAGGCCUCAAGUCCAAAGAGCAGGAAAGGCAAUGAUAUUUAAAACUCAGCACCACAAGUUUCCUCAGGUACCCUCCCAGACGAUACCAUCUCUACCAACAACAAAAGGAUGGGAGGAGGUCACAGAUCUGCUGUAGGGGCAGCCACUGCAGCUGCGUGGACUUGAGAGUGUGCAACUGGCAGAGGAGCCAGCCUCCUUUCCUUUGCCAGGAAGCUUGGCAGCAUCAAACCCCUAGAAAACCCUGUGUGGUCCAGGCCUUGCCAGG
rnacentral:lncRNA from 1 species